rnacentral:rRNA from 1 species
CCUACGGGAGGCAGCAGUGGGGAAUAUUGCACAAUGGGGGAAACCCUGAUGCAGCGACGCCGCGUGAGUGAAGAAGUAUUUCGGUAUGUAAAGCUCUAUCAGCAGGGAAGAAAUAAAGUCCUUCGGACUUUGGACGGUACCUGACUAAGAAGCCCCGGCUAACUACGUGCCAGCAGACGCGGUACUACGUAGGGUGCAAGCGUUAUCCGGAUGUACUGGGUGUAAAGGGAGCGUAGACGGCAGCGCAAGUCUGGAGUGAAAUCCCAUUGCGUAACCAUGGAACUGCUUUGGAAACUGUGCAGCUGGAGUGCAGGAGAGGUAAGCGGAAUUCCUAGUGUAGCGGUGAAAUGCGUAGAUAUUAGGAGGAACACCAGUGGCGAAGGCGGCUUACUGGACUGUAACUGACGUUGAGGCUCGAAAGCGUGGGGAGCAAACAGGAUUAGAUACCCGGGUAGUC